CGGGGGGGUGAUAACGCGUGAGAAUCUGCCUUCAGGUCGGGGACAACCACUGGAAACGGUGGCUAAUACCGGAUAUACCUAACAGUGAAAGAUUUAUUGCCUGAAGAGGAGCUCGCGUCUGAUUAGCUAGUUGGUGGGGUAAAAGCCUACCAAGGCGACGAUCAGUAGCUGGUCUGAGAGGACGAUCAGCCACACUGGAACUGAGACACGGUCCAGACUCCUACGGGAGGCAGCAGUGGGGAAUUUUCCGCAAUGGGCGAAAGCCUGACGGAGCAAUACCGCGUGAGGGAGGAAGGCUCUUGGGUUGUAAACCUCUUUUCUCAGGGAAGAACAAAAUGACGGUACCUGAGGAAUCAGCAUCGGCUAACUCCGUGCCAGCAGCCGCGGUAAUACGGAGGAUGCAAGCGUUAUCCGGAAUGAUUGGGCGUAAAGCGUCCGCAGGUGGCAUUGAAAGUCUGCUGUCAAAGAGUCUGGCUCAACCAGAUAAAGGCAGUGGAAACUACAAAGCUAGAGUACGUUCGGGGCAGAGGGAAUUCCUGGUGUAGCGGUGAAAUGCGUAGAGAUCAGGAAGAACACCGGUGGCGAAAGCGCUCUGCUAGGCCGUAACUGACACUGAGGGACGAAAGCUAGGGGAGCGAAUGGGAUUAGAUACCCCAGUAGGCCUAGCCGUAAACGAUGGAUACUAGGUGUUGCUUGUAUCGACCCGAGCAGUACCGUAGCUAACGCGUUAAGUAUCCCGCCUGGGGAGUACGCAGGCAACUGUGAAACUCAAAGGAAUUGACGGGGGCCCGCACAAGCGGUGGAGUAUGUGGUUUAAUUCGAUGCAACGCGAAGAACCUUACCAGGGCUUGACAUGUCGCGAAUCCUUGUGAAAGCAGGGAGUGCCUUCGGGAGCGCGAACACAGGUGGUGCAUGGCUGUCGUCAGCUCGUGUCGUGAGAUGUUGGGUUAAGUCCCGCAACGAGCGCAACCCUCGUUUUUAGUUGCCAUCAUUAAGUUGGGCACUCUAGAGAGACUGCCGGUGACAAACCGGAGGAAGGUGGGGAUGACGUCAAGUCAGCAUGCCCCUUACGUCUUGGGGUACACACGUAUUACAAUGUUAUGAACAGAGGGCAGCUAACCAGCGAUAGCAAGCUAAUCCCGGAAAUCGUAGCUCAGUUCAGAUCGCAGGGUGCAACUCGCCUGCGUGAAGUUGGAAUCGCUAGUAAUUGCAGGUCAGCAUAUUGCAGUGAAUUCGUUCCCGGGCCUUGUACACACCGCCCGUCACACCAUGGAAGCUGGUAGUGCCCGAAGUCAUUACCCCAACCUUUCGGGGAGGGGGAUGCCUAAGGCAGGACUGGUGACUGGGGUGAAGUCGUAACAAGGUAGCCGUACCGGAAGGUGUGGCUGGAUCACCUCCUUUUAGGGAGACCUACCCCAUCUACAUACCGAAACAAAUUUUUUUAUUAGGUAUAAAUGUGGUCACGCAAGGUCGGUCAAGAUUGGUUAAAAGCUUUCAAACUAUGAUUGGUUCGCUUAAAACUGAUUUUUCUCAGUGCACUUAGUUUCCGAAGAUAGUAAAUGUUUUCGUUCGCUAACUGUACUGGCUGAGUCGGUAAAAUGAAGACCAAAAAGAGAUUUACUUCAGCAACAUGACGCAUACUCGUCAGACUGCUGGGUAAGAAUCCAGCCAGAACCUUGAAAACUGCAUAGAAACGCGAUAAUUGUGAUUUUGCUAAAAACUAAUAUGUAAACGUCAACUACCAAACCGCUAUUAACAAUUAACAUUCUGUGUGCUCGCGAAAAUAGGGUCUAGUGGUAUACCCCUGCGCACACAGAGACCAUUCACUGUGGUCUAGCGAAUAUCGUUGUGUGGUGGAUACCUAGGCCCACAGAGAGAUACCUAGGCACACAGAGA
rnacentral:rRNA from 1 species